GAUGUGGGAAGCUCCAUCUUCACAGCCGAGGACACCACCCUCUGGGAUUCAUGCACUGCUGACUGAAAAGAAGAAAGUCAUCUGAGCACAAGAACUCAUCAUUCGUUGCUUCCAGCCUUCCAGCCUUCUCCUCUUGCCGCUGGGCCUCCCCUGCCUGUCACCUUGCCUCCUCCCCAGUCCUUAAGCCAGAAUCAAUCUUACCUCCCUUAACCUACCCCUUGUCCAGUAUUUGGUCACAGUCCUGAAAGAACAGAAACCAGGAGAUUUUCCUGUAGCUAAUUUCCUGCAACAACAAGAGAAAGAGAAAGAGAAAGAGAAGUAGCUUAUGACUAAAUGUGAAGAUGUGGCUUCUCCCUCUCCCUGGAUCCAAUCACUUAUUGAAUUAACAACAAGGAUCUCUUUCCAGAUGGGAGGACAAUCCUAGUAACAAAAUAAAAUAUGUCAGUGCCACUCA
ensembl:lincRNA Gm29414 predicted gene 29414